UGCCCCAUAGUCUGGGAUACCACUUGGAAACAGGUGCUAAUACCGGAUAAGAAAGCGGAUCGCAUGAUCAGCUUUUAAAAGGCGGCGUAAGCUGUCGCUAUGGGAUGGCCCCGCGGUGCAUUAGCUAGUUGGUAAGGUAAAGGCUUACCAAGGCGAUGAUGCAUAGCCGAGUUGAGAGACUGAUCGGCCACAUUGGGACUGAGACACGGCCCAAACUCCUACGGGAGGCAGCAGCA
rnacentral:rRNA from 1 species